UGCCUUUUCAUAUGCGCACCACAUCUUCAUUUAGCCAUUCUCUGGAUUUUUCCGAGGGCCUUUUGCCCUUCUGUAAUGCUUUCGAUGCCUCUUUAUAUGCAAACCACAUCUUCCUUUGGCCAUUCUCUAGAGACCCACCUGCACACAUUUCUUUUUCUCAAGAACCUUUGCCCGUCUCCGAUCCAUAUUUCAAGCUCCUCCACCUAAUAUCUUAAUCCGCCAACCACGGUUAGUCUCUAGAUCUUCAUUCUCCUGUACAUUUCUCCCUUACCUCAGCUUAUUCCACCAUAGAAUCCAUUUUUCACCGAUUAAACUUAUCCUCACCGUUCUAUCUUCACUUUUGCCCAAUUAAAACCUCUUUUCGUUCCAUUCCAUCAAUUCAAUCGUUGAAUCCUUUCUCUCCACCGAUCAA
rnacentral:lncRNA from 1 species